rnacentral:rRNA from 1 species
CCUACGGGCGGCAGCAGUGGGGAAUAUUGCACAAUGGGCGAAAGCCUGAUGCAGCAACGCCGCGUGAAGGAAGAAGGGUUUCGGCUCGUAAACUUCUAUCAACAGGGACGAAAGAAAUGACGGUACCUGAAUAAGAAGCCCCCGCUAACUACGUGCAAGCAGCCGCGGUAAUACGUAGGGGGCAAGCAUUAUGCGGAAUUACUGGGUGUAAAGGGUGAGUAGGCGGGAUGGUAAGCCUGAUGUGAAAGCCUUGGGCUUAACCCGAGGAUUGCAUUUGGAACUAGCAAGCUAGAGUACAGGAGAGGAAGGCGGAAUUCCUAGUGUAGCGGUGAAAUGCGUAGAUAUUAGGAAGAACACCAGUGGCGAAGGCGGCUUACUAAACUGAGACUGACGCUGAUGCACGAAAGCGUGGGGAGCGAACAGGAUUAGAUACCCGAGUAGUC